GGAGAUCCCAGAGGCGUCGGUGGCGCAGGAGGCGACGGAGCGAGCGGCGGGGGAGACGGGCUCUUUGGUGGCGGCGGAGGUGGCGAAGUCGGUGGUGAUUGUGGGGCCGGAGGGGGAGACCGGCUCGGCGGAGGCGGGGGCGGGUUCACCGGUGGCGGAGGCGGGUUCACCGGUGGCGGAGGCGACGGUGGAGGUGUGACCGUAGGAGGAGGAGGCGAUGGCGACACGGGAGGCGAGGCAGGAGGCGCCUGCGGCGGAGGAGACGCCGGGGGAGGGGUGGGGCUCGACGGAGGCGGCGUGGGCGGAGACGUCGGCGGAAUACCGGGCGGCGGCGUCAGCGAAGGAGACGAGGAAGGUGCGGGCGGAGGAGCUGUUGGAGGCGGAGAGGAAAGAGGCGGCGACGUGGGGUUGGUCGGAGGAGGAGCGGAAGGAGGCGGCGACGUGGGGUUGAUCGGAGGAGUAGCGGAAGGAGGCGGCGACGUGGGGUUGAUCGGAGGAGGAGCGGAAGGAGGUGGCGACGUGGGGUCGAUCGGAGGAGGAGUGGAAGGAGGCGGCGACGUGGGGUUGGGUGGCGACGGCGUCGGGCUCGAGGGCGGAGGAGGCGACGACAUGACGGCAAAACCGGGUGCAAUUGCCGGCGGGAAACCGGUUCAGACACUACUUAAUUCUCGCCUGUUGGCCCUCCAAAUAAUU
rnacentral:lncRNA from 1 species